rfam:Tupaia chinensis contig45519, whole genome shotgun sequence.
UCAAAGGCUCUUUUCAGAGCCACCUAUUGUCUCAGUAAGAGAGCCG